GGCUUUAUAUUCAAUAAUGAUAUUAGACUGCAAUUCUAAAGGAGUAAAAAAUUUUACUAAGGCUU
rnacentral:tRNA from 1 species